rnacentral:lncRNA from 1 species
CCCAUACAAAUUUGAUUGCAAUUAGGAAUGCAGUAUAGACUAGGAAGUGACUCCUAGGUCGUCUCUCAAGGACCAAAUGUGGUUUGAGUCUUAGGUCUAACACGAAGGGGGGGUUGUGAAAGGUUUUUGUAAGGAAAAUUAAAUUAAAUUAACACUGAAAAUUAAUUUCAACCAAACAUAAUUGAAAAUAUUAAAAUAACUGAACAAAGCAUGAAGACCGAACGGUCCUACAGAUGACCGAACAGUUCUACAUUGGGAUUGAACGAUCUCUAAAGCAAGUGAGGAAAUUAGUAAUGCAGGAAUAUAUAAAAAAAAACUAAACAGACUAGACAUCAUUAAAGUAAACAGAACAAUAAACAGAAUAUAACAAACAACAUAGUGAAUGAAAAUAAUAAACUGCACAAUCUCAAAAUAAAGUGAGUCAACUAAUUACAAUACAAAUAAUAAAGAAACACGAGGUGGUAUUUAAAUGCGAACUUAAACUAAACAUUGAAAUGCCAUUACGGCCUAAUAUGCUUAAACUAAUAAAACUACAAUUCAAAAAAAUUGUAACCAAAUAAAUAUACCUAAAUCUAAUUAAUCUACCGGUCCAUCUCUAAAACAACAUUUAAGAAGAGUAAAUGAAAGGCAUAAAGGUGUGAGUCAAUUGAAGUUAAGCGAAUAAAGCAGCGGGUAGAAUGAAAGAGACCAUGUAAAAGUGCUAGAACAAUUGGAAAUGAAAUGUCAAUGAAAAAUGCGUGGCAGGAAAAUAAGCUUGCAAUUAAACAUUCCAAACAAAACUGCUUCUCUAAAAGAAAGAACUAAAUGCGUCACCGUGAACUUUCGAAAAGAAAAAAAAAAUGCUUCUGGAAUAAACUUCAAUUAAAAGAAAGCAGUGCCUAAUCUAAAGGAAAUUUCAAGUGAUUCUCGGUUGCAGCAUAAAAGAGACAAAAACUCUCUAACACUCUACAUUGCUGCGUCAAUGCACCCCCCAAUAUAACAGUGUUCAAGUGCUCUCCUAUAACAGUGUUGCCUUUCAAGUGGCGGCUCCCCUCUGAAGCAAUCCCGAGAGACCUCCCCUAU